AGAAGUAAAACUUAUAAUUAACAAAACAAAAAAAAUUAGGACAAAUGUCUAUUUUACUACUAAUGUCAUUUUAAUUUACCAACCAAAAACAUAGAAGAUAAAUAAUGAAAUAAAUUUAAAAUAGAACAGGAUGUAUAGAGGGAAUAAAUGGGGUGAAGCCCCAAGGGAACACCCUAUGAAGGCCCAAAAAAGGCCCGAGUCAUCACCAACUCGGGUUGGGCCCUAAGGCCCAAACCCUUUCCCAGUCGGUCAACCCAAGGCACCGAAAAAAAGAGGAAACCAAACAAGUCCACCGCCCACUGCCAGGCCACGCGUGUAAUGUAAUAGCUGACAGCUAUUAUGGUGGGAUAUUGAAAGUACAUUAGAAUAUUUGGGGAAUUUCAAACGGUUAUCAUUUCAAUCAAUUACCACUACCAAUUCCUUCCUCCUCAACUCAAAGAUCUGCCUCUCUUCAAAGCUAUACAUGUCGUCAUUUCCCCUUGAGAUUCCACGGUGUUCCGGACGGCGGCUCCGAUGAACUGUCCACAUGUUCGUCCGAUCAGAUACCGACCUUCAACCCCAAACCCAGACUGACCAAAUAUUUCUCAAACAUAGCAAAUCCAAACCAACCAAAAAAAUCUCAACCGAUAAACAAAGAAAAAAAUAAUACAAUCAAGCUUAGGCAAGUGAUUUCAGUAUUAGAUCCAUCAUUAUUUUCAUAAACACGAAAAAUUUCCUUAUAGAUCUAUAACGAAUCAAAUCGGGUGAACCAACAACAGGCUUCGACAAUCAACAAGCAGAUAUGCAAUACUUUUCAAGUUUCAAGACAGAGGGUACAAGAUUUCGCCGGAAUUCUGCAAAUCCGACGAGAUUAUGGCAGACAGUUUUUCUUUACCUUGAGUACAGAUUGUGUGCUGGCAGGGUGCAUAGAAUCAUUUUCGUUGGGUGAGAGAUCCUCCUAAGAUCAUGUGGGGACCGAUUUGUUUGGGGGUAGAAUCAUGGAAAUCAUGGAGAAUUUGUCUGUUAGCAAGAUAUGAAAAUGGCCUUCAAGGACUCGGGUGGUCCCCCCCAAAAUUUGGUAUGACAUUAUUUAAAGAAAUUCGAUUUUUGAUGUAAGUGAGUAUUAUGAUAAAUUUGUUCUUUUUGCAUUGGUUUUAUUUGGUAAAGGGGAUGUUGUUUCGAGUUGUUACUCAAUUGCUUUGAGCUGAUACGCAGGUGCCGAUUUUGUCGCUACCGCAGGGCACUGAUAUGGAUUGGUUGACUCCUGCAGAUAUGUUGGAAUCGCUUGAUAUUCCACUCAUCCAAGACAUGACAGAGUGAUUCUCGUGGCUCGGUUAUAUGUAUGCUCGGUUUGGUACAAGCGAUUAGAGAGUGAUUUGCACACUCGGGAAUGGCCCCAAUAUAGGCUUGAUAUCAUUCAAUACAUAUUGUUGAAUCGCGGUUAAUGGCGACACUACAUUUUGGUGGGAAACUCAUUGCCGUUACAGCUGAUUAUGAUGCUGCAAAGAGAGGCAUUGUGAAGUAUAAACCGUGGAACUGUAGGUUUUCGUUUAGGGUAUAACAUUUUCGCAAUAUGGCGGCCGAAUUGUCGUAGCUUGAGAAUUUUGUAGCAUGAUUCCGUCAUCUAUAUACUAGGAUAUUGUAAAUGAACAUGUAUGAUUUAGGUGUUGUCGCCUUCUUUAUUGUGGGUUCAGUUUUGGUGUAUACUAUUCACACUAGUUUAGGAAUUCUUGGCCUUAUGUUGUAAGUUCGGUGUAUACUAUGCCCAUAAACUCCAUGAGGUUGUCAAUUUUUUUAUCUUGCUGAAAAAAUGUUGCAGCACGGUUGAAAUUAGGAUUUGAGCGGCAUGGACAAUGUUGUACAAGCGCACUGCUUAUCAAAUUACCUUGUUAUAAAUAGGACCUUGCUAUAA